UCCGUAGGUGAACCUGCGGCUUGGCGCGGCGAAGAACCUUACACACAAGUGUCUUUUUGAUACAGAACUCUUGCCGUUGGUUUGGCCUAGAGAUAGGUUGGGCCAGAGGUUUAACAAAACACAAUUUAAUUAUUUUUAUUGAUAGUCAAAUUUUGAAUUAAUCUUCAAAACUUUCAACAACGGAUCUCUUGGUUCUCGCAUCGAUGAAGAACGCAGCGCAAUGCGAUAGGUAAUAUGAAUUGCAGAUAUUCGUGAAUCAUCGAAUCUUUGAACGCCCAUUGCGCCCUCUGGUAUUCCAGAGGGCAUGCCUGUUUGAGCGUCAUUUCUCUCUCAAACCCCCGGGUUUGGUAUUGAGUGAUACUCUUAGUCGAACUAGGCGUUUUCUUGAAAAGUAUUGGCAUGGGUAGUACUGGAUAGUGCUGUCGACCUCUCAAUGUAUUAGGUUUAUCCAACUCGUUGAAUGGUGUGGCGGGAUAUUUCUGGUAUUGUUGGCCUGGCGUUAUAACAUCCAAACAAGUUUGAC
rnacentral:rRNA from 1 species